CAUGGCUCAGGAUGAACGCUAGCGGCAGGCCUAAUACAUGCAAGUCGGACGGGAUCCGUCGGAGAGCUUGCUCGAAGACGGUGAGAGUGGCGCACGGGUGCGUAACGCGUGAGCAACCUACCUCUAUCAGGGGGAUAGCCUCUCGAAAGAGAGAUUAACACCGCAUAACAUCAACAGUUCGCAUGUUCAGUUGAUUAAAUAUUUAUAGGAUAGAGAUGGGCUCGCGUGACAUUAGCUAGUUGGUAGGGUAACGGCUUACCAAGGCGACGAUGUCUAGGGGCUCUGAGAGGAGAAUCCCCCACACUGGUACUGAGACACGGACCAGACUCCUACGG
rnacentral:rRNA from 1 species